UACGAAGGGGGCUAGCGUUGUUCGGAAUUACUGGGCGUAAAGCGUGCGCAGGCGGCGCGUUAAGACAGGUGUGAAAGCCCCGAGCUUAACUUGGGAAUUGCGCUUGUGACUGGCGAGCUGGAGUGUGGCAGAGGGAGGUGGAAUUCCACGUGUAGCAGUGAAAUGCGUAGAGAUGUGGAGGAACACCGAUGGCGAAGGCAGCCUCCUGGGCCAGCACUGACGCUCAUGCACGAAAGCGUGGGGAGCAAACAGG
rnacentral:rRNA from 1 species